AAGACUAUACUUUCAAGGAUCAUUUCUAUAGUUUGUUAUUAGAACACUCAUAGCAGCUUCAUACAAAGUAGCCUAGAACUACACAUAGCC
rnacentral:snoRNA from 1 species